UAAGGAGUGAAUAAUGUUGGUGUGGUAGGUUGACCGUGGCUGGGUGCCAGGUGCCCACCAAAGCCGCUCUAUCACUCCCCCUCCUCAGAUGGACAGGGGA